UGGCGGGAACCCGGGAGGCGGAGCUUGCAGUGAGCAGAGAUCCGGCCGCUGCACUCCAGCCUGGGCGACAGAGCGAGACUCCGUCUCAAAAAACAAAACAAAACAAAGCAGCAGUGGUGCUUUUUAAUCACAGUGAGUUUGAAUCUUCCUUCUCACAUUCACGUGUGGUAAGGGCUCAGCCUCCAUCAGCAUCUUCACAGGAACCCUUGCAACCUAGGAAAAUACGUAAUACGUCACCACACUUGUCUUUUAUAUUUAAACUACAACUAGAAUGAUAAUUAGUAAAUCUGCCACUGGUGGGCUCCUGCAGGAAUAUAACCGCAGUUCCAGCACCCGCGCCUCUGUUCCGUAAUGGCUCAUGCCUGUGUGUAAAGGUCUUCAGCAGCCUCAGGCAGGUGUGGCUUCAGAUGGCCCCUGAGCACAGCCUGUCACCGUCCUCCAUCUUCCCUGCUGUCUUCCGUGUCCCCUGAGCUUCCGUGAAGGUUUGUCUUUCCUCUGUGGCUCUUUAAACCACUUCCUGUCCUUCGGAGAAUCUCCCCCGUGGGUGGGGAAGCUCUAAAUCAGGGUAGGACUUUGGGCUCUGAUCAGCAGACUACACUUAGCACCCCCAGCCUCCAGCGAGAACCUAAGGCAAUCACGGAACUUCUCAAGUUUCGUCUGUAAAUGGAAACGAUGUCUGCCCUGCAUAACUGAGAAAAUAGACGCGAAGGUGUCAAGUAAACGAAGUCCUCGCAUCAAGACGGCCUCGCGACACGCGUCACUGUUGACAGCUCCUUAGCACCAACAAGUCAGGGCAGUUGUUAAUGACUCAGCCUCUCUUCUUGGACUCUGAAUUCAUCUUCAGGGGUGCGGCGGGACAAGCAACCCUGUGGGCCAGAACUCCCCGGCCUCCGGCCCCUCAUCACCUGCCUUCAGCUCGCAGAGUGAAGAGCCUGGCACAAGGACCCAUUCCGUCCACGUGGGGUUAUGGAUGUGACACGUUCUCCAACAAGGGUUUAAGGGGUAAUUUUUUACUUCAGUUGGGAUGUGCCAUCCUUACUGAAGAGCUGUUACCUUUUGUAUAUUUUGAUCUGAAAAAAACAGUAAAUACAGAAAUACUUGUUCACAAUAAGGGAAAAUGUUUUUAUUGCCAAGAGCCUUUCCCCCCUGGUUCAUUGAAAUGUUUGCUUGUAUACAUCACUCCUGGCUUACUAGAACUAUGGCUUAAACAUCGAACAAGACGGCAGGUCAAACAGAAGAGAACAUGAACCUCUAACCUCAGGCACCAGUGGACACGUGUGGGGCCCAGGCAGCUUCUUCAGGAUUCGGGUGUCAGGAAAAGGCACCCUGAAAUGCUGGUAGACCAGGUGGCUGGGGUGGCACAGAUGGGGCUUGUGGACCUGGGGUCUGUGAGUCAAGCAGCUGGUUCUGUGCAUUAACAACACUCUUCCACUGUUUCCUUAGGGAAGAUCCUUGUCCUUCAAAACCUUCCUCAUCUGGGUUUUAAUCAGUAUUUACCAAGGUGGCAUCCUCAUGUACGGGGCCCUGGUGCUCUUCGAGUCCGAGUUUGUCCACGUGGUGGCCAUCUCCUUCACUGCACUGAUCCUGACCGAGCUGCUGAUGGUGGCGCUGACCGUCCGCACAUGGCACUGGCUGAUGGUGGUGGCCGAGUUUCUCAGCCUGGGCUGCUACGUGUCCUCACUCGCUUUUCUCAAUGAAUAUUUUGGUAUAGGCAGAGUGUCUUUUGGAGCUUUCUUAGAUGUUGCCUUUAUCACCACCGUGGCCUUCUUGUGGAAAGUGUCAGCGAUCACCGUGGUCAGCUGCCUCCCGCUGUAUGUCCUCAAGUACCUGAGGCGCAAGCUGUCUCCCCCAAGCUACUGCAAGCUGGCCUCCUAAGGGGUUGUGCACCCCCAGCGGGCUGGUCCCAGCACCUUCUGCCCUUUCCAGUGAACACAGGAUUUGCCAUUGCUACCAAGCGAGCACCACGAGAAAGGGAGGGUACGCCAGGCAAGCCCAGGGCACCGAUGCCGGGACGGCCUGUCCCUCUCAGUGCAGGAACGUCACCCCUGCCAGGCGAGCCCAGGGCACAGAUGCCAGGAUGGCCUCUCCCUCUCAGUGUGGGGCUUCACCCCUGCCAGGCAAGCCCAGGGCACUGAUGCCGGGACAGCCUCUCCCUCUCAGUGUGGGGCUUCACCCCUGCUUUUCUUUCUUCUUUUGUGUUUGUCAGAAUCCUAUUUCCAUAUUGAAGCAGCUUGAGUUUCUACUGAAAAUGAGCCCGAAUUAUUUUACUGUUACUGUAAAGGGUUUAUCUUACCUGGCAUUCUGAGAAUUAGAAUGAAAGUUUAAUUUCUGCAAUUCCCUAACAUUCAAGUUCUUUCUUUGAUGUUAUAACACACAGUCAUUCCUACUCAAAUGUAAUAAAAUUGAGGCUCCACGGAGACCCGUGUCCACACCAGCUGCAGCUCCUGCUCAGACAGACGGCCUGCCCUUUGCUGAAGACACCUCGCUUUAUACUCGUAUUUCGCUUUUCAGUAAAAACACUCGAGUUACUGAGUUCUCACAUGAAGAGCUGUUCUCACACGCUCUGAAGGCAAGUCGCACAGACAGUGGCGUUUCCGAACAUAAUUCCACUGCAGCCACCAACGCAAAUCAUUGCCCAGAGACUGCUGCUGGCACGCCUGUCCUUCUCAUCCUUUUUAUAUUUGCAAAAUCACACUCGAACGCCAUUUCUAUAGGUAGAAAUCAGCUGUCCUGUAAAACUCACAUCCCCUAAGAUAGCCCACUUGCCUGGUCACGGGUUUCCUAGUUAACUUGGUUGGAAACACGCACCAACUGAGAUGAUGAAAGCCUGUGCGGUUGCCACGCUGCGUUCAUGGUGUCGCCCAGCCAGACCCCUCGCUUCUGUGAAGCUGGGAAGGUCCUUGGGGCCAGGAGUUCAUUUUCUCAGCUGUGUCCUGUGCCUGGGGUGUUUCUCCACACCGGUGUGUGGUGCCGCCUGCAGCAGUGCCCCUUCUUGGAGGCCUCAGCAGAAGUGGGUCAAACACCAGGCCUCUUGGUUCAAAGGGGAGUGCCUCUAUUUUCCACGCAGGCGCCGCAGCCUCUGCCAGGAGUUUCACCUGCUCAUUUUCCGCGUCGUUUCCCAUCAAGGUGGGCCCUGUCACCUGAAAUGCUGGCCGCGCUGUGUGCGUGGGGCUCCACGGGCAUUUCACCAACCAGCGGAGGGGCUGCCCAGCGCCCACCUAGCGUCCCCCGCAGCUCUGCGGAGGAGAAAAUAGCCACCGAGAGCAGUAAAGGGCCUGUCCUCCCCACACCGCAGCAGCGCCUUUGGAACGAGUUCCGCGUCCUCCCUCCUGAGCGCCCUGAAUUUCCAGGCGGGCCUGGCCCUGCCAGGGUGCGGUUUCCGGCGUCCCCACAAGGGGUCGCUGGUGUCCGCUCGGUGAUCUGGGCGUCUGGUCGCCGCCGGAGGCUGCCUGGGAUUUUCCCUUCUGUGCACCAAGUCGGUGUCGCCCAGAAGUCACAUCCUGGCCGGGGCUGACUUGGAUUUUACGUGUCUUCAUCGCUUCUGCCGGAGCAGUUUGCGUCAGGGGCGUUGGGACGGUAGAAAUCAAGUCCACAGCCAGCAGCUCAGGAGAUGGGGUCACACGCUCGGGCCUCGGGGGUGGAGGCCAAGUGCACAUCAGAGGCUGCUCCCCCGUGCACCUUUACGAAUAAACCGCCCACCUGUGACACUAAUCGAAUGAUAACGUUGUAAAUAACCUCAGAAAAGCUGAACCCCUGAGCCUUCGGGAAUAACACUGCAGUACAGCUUUCAGAUAAACGACCAGCCUUAGAUCAGUUGGAUCCUGAUUAGGAGACAGUUGGAGACGUCUCAGGAAAUCGAGAUGUGUUAGGGGCAGGUGGAGACGGGAGGAGGAAGGGGUUUCUCUGUAAACGAAAAUCACCCCCACGUUGUGAGGGUUAAAUGAGAUGGACAGGGCGUUCCUGGCAGACGACGGGCAUGCAGCAAGGCAGUCGGAACGGGUCUGUGACACGGAUUCUCUGCUAGAUUAAAGAAAAUAAUAGCCUGCUAAAGGGUCAUUAGAUGGGCAUUAGAUCCAGUUCCAGCUCCAGUUCAGGAACCAGCUCUGAGAUCAGGCGAGGAGUCGAGAGGCUGUGCUUCCACCGGCUACCAGCUUGCGGUGUAACCUCAUUGCUUUUUAGGUUCUGGACCUGUGUCAGCCCUAGAAAUUCUGAGCCGGCCGUACAGCCCCAGAGCCCUUCAGGAGGGUGCCCAGCCUGGGGAGAGCAUUCUGUGUGUCCGGAGUCGGCGGUGCUGCAGGAGGAGGAGCCCGUUCCUCCCUUCUGUGUGUGAUGGGCAGCGUCCCCGAGCAUCCAGUGCUGUGCUGGCCCCAUGUUUCUAGGUUUACGUGUAGAGGCGUGACCCUCACGGUCCUGUCCGGCGCCCGGAAUAGCUGGUCACAGGGAGGUAAGUGCUGCGGAAGAACCAGCAGGGCCGGCAGCCUUGGGAGACUCCUUGGAAAGGGGAGGUUGAAGCCAAGGGCGAGAAGAUACAAGCAAAGCCUGUCAUCAGAGCAGCUCGUGCUCAGACCCGAGACUGGGGCCUGGCGCUCUGGGGUGACGAGAGCAGAGUGCCAGCGCCCAGCAGGGCGGCAGGUGGGUGAGGAUUCGCCACUGUUUUCCACAGUCUCAUCCGAGUCCAGGUCAGUGACGGCCAUGCCUUGAGGGCCGCAGUGCAUUCCCGGAGCCCGUAAGUCCGUACCCCCGACGGCCACCAGUGCCUUCCUCUCCUGUGAGAGCCCAGCAGAGAAACCUGUAGCAAGACCCUGACAGUUUACCAAACAAGCUGGCCUUACCUCCCUUCUGUGACGGUCACGGGCAGGCCCAGGUGCACCCUUCCUAGGGUCAGGGACUCCGCUGGUGUCACCACCUCCAAGGCCCCCCCGGCACAACUGAGCAAGCCACUCGGUCCUACUCAGGGGCAGCCCCCCGGCCCCAGUCCCCAGCACCUAAGUCCUGGGCCGUAGAGGGGACACCAGGCACCCCCUCUCCCCCGGAAUGCGAGUCCUGCUACAGCAGAUGGGUGUCAUUUCAGGCGGUUCCAGAAGGGGGAGCCAGAAGCCACGAAAUGGCACCUGCGAGGCCACCUGGGCCAACAUCCCAGCUCCAGCUCGGAAUUUGGGGGUUAGAGAAGCUGAUGGCUUGGGGAUUCCUCUGAAUAUGAUGUCCUGCUGAGCGCCAACAAGCAACCCCUGAAAUGGGGUCCCCAGGAAAGCCAGUCUGCUCUCGCUGAAGAGUUUCCUCCUGUCCCGCAGGCACUUGUACACAGGAGGUGUUACUGUGUCUGCAUGGGGAGUGCCCCCGUGGAGGGCUGCAGGGCAGCCUCAGCUCCCACUACCCGUCCCAGGUGCUGGUCGGCCCCUCGGGUGGGCCUCGGGACCAUGGCUGAGCAGAAGCCGGGGAGGAAGAGGGUCCUCGUGCCAGUUCUGCUGAGUCCUCAAUGCUCACGCUAAUGACAGGAUUUUCCAAAAUGGAUUGUCCUGCGCCUGUGGGCCUGGAAGAGAAUCCAGAAAUCCUCCAGCCCCACCUCUGCCUGGGUCCUGAGAGUUCUGGGGCCGGAAGGCUGCAGGCACUGAGCUCAUCUGCGCUGGGGGUGGACAUCGCCCUGGUUGUGACCUGAGAUGCGAACAGAAGCGUUGGGGUCCAGAUCUAGAAAGAUGAGGCCAGCACAGACCAUGUCCUGGAAAAGACACAACUUGGCCUUUGGAAUAUCCGCCCCUCAUUAAGGAAGAGAGGGAGGCCCUGGGAUCAGACGUCGCUGCAAGUCAGAAAUCUGGAUUUUUAGGUGAAGUGACCAUUUUAAAAUUGGGCUCCCAGCACUUGUUGCUGUCAUUGGGUUGCCUGGGAGACUGCGUGGGGCAGCUGAGGGGGCACCGUCUGCCGUGGCUGGUUCCCCCGUCACCGCAAGGCCCAGCAGCAGUCAGCCUCAGACCUUCUCCCUGUCCCAAGAGGCCCUCUCACAGCUUGCCUCAGUUUCUCCCUGGGGUCAAGCACAGCUGUGUUUGCAGGUGGGGAGCCAGCAAGGCUCUUGCCCUGGAGUAAUGGCAUGUCGUGAUGCUCACUGAUUCCCUCAAGGAGGCCUUUCCUUGGGGGCUGCCCCGCGUGGAGCAACCCCUGGCCCUGUAGACCCUGUGUUCCUUCCUCAGGGCAUCCUGCUGGGGUGAGGGAUGGGGACUGGCCCCCUGGACGGAUGGGGACUCCUGACCUCCCCCAUGGGCCCCAGGGAAAGACAAGCAAAACAAGGGCCAUCCCGAUUGUGUCCCGCUUCUCCCACCUGCAGCUGCCCCGCGCCAGGCUGUGCAGAAGAGCUGGGGCCACGAGAAGGAGCUGCACCACCAGCUUCCAUCGCAGGUGCUGGGGAGAAAAUACUGCCGAUUUCCUAGCCGAAGGUUUGUUCCUGUGCCCACACCGUGCGUCCAGCACAAUCACAGGAAGCACUCCGCCAGGAGAAGGAGAAUCUGCGAGAGCUCCCGAGUUAUCCUCACAGUAGCUCGGGCUCUGAGACUACCCCCUUCACUUCCAUCGGCAAUGGGGAGCCCCGUGCAGACAGUGGGGUUAACCGGGGUCCCGGGCCACGUGUUGGUGCUGACUCCCAGGCACAGAUGCUCGUGCGGACCCUGCAGGGCUGGUGGUCAGGGGCUGUGGGUGCCCAGUCCAGGAUGCGCCAGGCUCCCGGGCCAGCCUGCCCUGCUCCUGUCCACCCUGCUCCUGUCCCACUGCCCUGUGUCCUCUUGACCUGAGCCUCGGCUUGUCCAGCUGGGGCCGUCCAGGUGGGAGUAACUGUCUAGACGAGAAAAUGAGAGAACCAGGUCCACAGGACAGGAGCAGGGGGCCAGUAUGGGGACAUCACUGCCACAGUCCCCUUACCAGGGGCACUGGCUGUCUCUGGCUCUGCCUGUUUCUAGGAACCACCUGGACUGAUGCCAUCCACGGUCCCUGUGAAAAUUCUUGCUGCGUCCUCUGGGCUCUGUGCCUUCACCUGGGGACAGGGCCCUCCCCUUGGCCUCCUUGAGUCCUCCCCCCUCCUAAUUUGUGACAAAAUGAGAAGAAACAAAAGGCAAUAAGAGGAGAGCGGGGUGGGCCGGGACAGAAUCGGGCCCUGGGCUGCACCAUCAUCGCUCAUCUCAGCUCUCAGUGACCUGAGGACCAGGACCCAGACCCAGCGUGGGGACUGUGCAGGGGGCCCAGCCAGGGGCGGGAGCUGUGGGGGCAACUGUGCCA